ACGGACAGCGCGGGGCUGACGGCCCUUCCGCUCUGCCCCGCCGCCGGGCCCGGCACCUGGGCCCCGCCAUGCCGCCGGGGCUCCUCCGUACCUGCCCGGUGGUAAGUUCCGCGCUCUCCUUACCGUGGGGAGAGGGAUACUGAGAAGCUGUCAAGGCAGAAGGAUGCUCAUAUGACAACACAUUUUGUCUUGGGAAAGCAACUUCAGGAGAGAAGGAAACAUUCGGGUGGUGAAAGGUCCCUCUCCCAUCACUGAAUUAUAGCCAUUGUGCCCAUCCCAUCAAAACCAUCAUGUUACAGACUUUGCCCCACUAGCCAGACUCUGGGACCAGGCCCAGAUGGAGGGUACCCCCAUCGUCUAGCAGUGACUGACUGAAGUGUGGCCUGAUCUCUGCUGCUCCUGCACCCACAGCCGUCGGGCUUACCCCUCUGUCUUCUAGCUGUCCUCUUGAAGUGUGGCUUCUCAUUUGAAACAGAGAAGCAGCUAGGCAGCUUCUCUCAAGUCAAUGUGAUGUAUGUUUAGAAUAAACCUUGCUCGAUGAGUGUCUGGGGUGGAGGAAGGGCUCUGAGCUUCACUGUGCUGGGAAUUUUCCACUUUAAUUUCAGUCACAGAAACUAGUUGUUUCCAGUGUGGAAAGCGCUCCAGGCUUCUGCAUGAUUAAACUCAUCUGCAGCGUUUGGAAUGGGACAUUGCAGUGACAGUGAGACGGGGACUUUCUGCUGGGUCAUGACAAGGCUGCAGGCAUUGUAAUUUAGAAUCAUAGAAUCUCAGAAUGGUUUGGUGAGUAUUCAUACACCAAAGGCUUAUGUCUUCCUCUCUCUCCUUCCCCAUCUCCCUCUGAGCUUGAAGAUAAUCCUGGGCUAAGGGCAACAUUUAUGUUUAACACUCCCCUGUACGUUUGAGGCAGACACACAAUUUUGAGCAUAACUAGUGAGCUAUGAAAGACGCAUUUAAGCAUUAUCAUUCAUCCAUCUUAUGGUGGCAUCUGCUUGAAAGAAGGUGAAUCUCAUGUUGAUAGUGAUGAUGAUGACCUUAUUUGCUGUAAUGCAAAACCACAGGAAACAAGAUCAAUACACUUUAAAGUAACAGAGUGGCUCUCAUUGAUAGCUAGUUUCAGUUUCUUCACCCUUCUCUCUGCCAGUCCCAGAAUUACGGUUUUAAUGUCAUGCUUUCCCUCCUUCUCUAGUAUCAAUAUUGUACUUGAAUAAGAUUAUUCACAACCAAACAAGGACUUCUCUGUUAAUAGUCUCUGUCCUUGAAGCCCUCUUUUACCUUUCAAGUCCUUCAAUACUAUAGAAGUCCUGUAGUCUUUUCUAAGAUCCAGUCAGCCUCUCACAGCAUUAAAGGAAUCUCUGAUUUCUUCUCCUCUUCCUUCAGGUCAUUAUGUUUGUCUGCUGGCAAGAAUGCAAUACCUGAAAGCCAUUCCACCAAUCUAUGGAGCAAGAUUUCCUUCCAGGUGAUCACAAUGUAUGGGAAGAACAAGUCCUCUCAGACAAACUAGCAUGUUAAAGCCAUCAAGGUGGUCUCCUGUGCCCAGCCAUGGGCAGAGCUCAGCUUUCCCUGGGCUGCCAGUGGGUGUGGAAGCUGCCUGGUGCUGGCAUGCCUGGAAUUUCAUGCGCAGUACUGGGCACUUGCACAGUCAAGCCCAGAUUUCCAGGUGUUUUCUUUCUGGGCUUAAUUCCACCACCAUACACCAGAGCAAGUAACAUCUUAUUCAGCAGGGAGUUUCACUCAGUCUUAGUCAUGAAGAUGGAAUUGGUCCUACAACAACAACAGUAAUUAUGCUUUACCUGCGUCCUUUCCAAAACUCCCUACAUGGCCUCUCCAUCACAAAAGCAAACAGAAGCUCCCAGAAAGCAGCAGCAAGUUCAGAGAGAUCUGGCUCCUCACCAGUCUGAAUUUUGCCAGGUGUUUCUUGCUCCAAGAGUUUGAGCUAUAGCUCGAGCUAUAUCGUAUCCUUUCUAGUACUGAAUUUCUGGGAAGACACCAACUAUUUUAUGCAAUGGGGAACUAAACAAACACUUUUAAAAUAAAA